rnacentral:lncRNA from 1 species
AAUUGCUAAAACCAGAAAACCCAAAAAACUGCGGAGUAACUUGACAACUUUGUUCGAGGUGUUCCCGAAAUCAAAAAAUCACAAAAUUAAAUCUGGAAUGUCCUUCAAUAUUUAAUUUUUGAUCUGGAAAGUUUGGGUACUAAAUUCAACCCGCUGAAUAUUUUUUAAAAUUUUUAUUGGAUUUCAUUUUUUUGGUUUUUUUUUCUUUUUCGACUGAUUUUUUUGCGGGAUUAAUUUUUUUAUAUUCAAUCACAGUUCCAAAAAUAUGUAUGUAAAAUUUCAGAUCAAUCAGACAAUUUUUACCCACUCAAAUGAAUUUUUUUCGAAAAUUUUUUUGGGUAAAACUGCUGUUUGUAGUUUAAAAAAUAAAGAUCAGUUUAGAAAUCAACCAAGAACACCCAAAACACCUAAAAUCUGAU